UCCUCAGUAGCUUAGUGGUAGAGCGGUCGACUGUUAACCGAUUGGUCAUAGGUUCGAAUCCUAAAUGCCACUUAUGGAA